rnacentral:rRNA from 1 species
GUAGGUGGCAAGCGUUAUCCGGAAUUAUUGGGCGUAAAGCGCGCGUAGGCGGUUUUUUAAGUCUGAUGUGAAAGCCCACGGCUCAACCGUGGAGGGUCAUUGGAAACUGGAAAACUUGAGUGCAGAAGAGGAAAGUGGAAUUCCAUGUGUAGCGGUGAAAUGCGCAGAGAUAUGGAGGAACACCAGUGGCGAAGGCGACUUUCUGGUCUGUAACUGACGCUGAUGUGCGAAAGCGUGGGGGAUCAAACAGGAUUAGAUACCCUGGUAGUCCACGCCGUAAACGAUGAGUGCUAAGUGUUAGGGGGUUUCCGCCCCUUAGUGCUGCAGCUAACGCAUUAAGCACUCCGCCUGGGAGUACGGCCGCAAGGUUG